GGGACUUUCCCGGAUUGGAGGCACCCGCUCACUUCGUCCUAAGCAUUGUUGCAGGCUAAUGUCCACCUUCCACUUUAUAAAAUGCCUCAUCUAAUUUGUUCCAGUUCGAUGUGGGACAAUAGAAGACACUUGGGUUGAGGUUCUUGGGAAGCGGAAUGCUCACAGCAGCAGGGGUGGGCUCUCGACACGGACAGUGUUUUUUAUCGCAGGUAGACCGCUUCAACUUGCUAUCCCGAUCAAUGGCAAGGACCUCGGUGUACACCGUCAGCAUCUCGGCCAACGAGUUUGUUUUCGUUUCUGACCCCAACGACGCCAUGAAGUCCCUUGGCCUGCUUUGCUUUCGGCGUGAGGACGCCCAGGCUCUGCUCGCUCAGGUUCAGCUGAGGAAGCUGGCGCUGGGGAAGGGGGCCAGAGUUGUGCCCAUUACUCUUGAUCAGGUUUAUAUGUUGAAGGUUGAAGGAAUUGCAUUUCGGUUUUUGCCUGAUCCUAUUCAAAUAAAGAAUGCAUUACAGCUUUUCUGAUUAGUGACAGUUCAAUCGUAAGCUUAUUGAGGCGCGCGCCCCGGGCGCGGGGUGCUUCGGCCUUGGGGAAAUGCGCCCCGCAUGCGAGGCGGGACGCUGCACGCAGCGAGGCGCGCGCCUCGCGUGCGUCUCGCACCUGUGUUAUGUUUGAUACUUGCAGCAACAGGCCCAUUACAGGCGUAUCUGAGUAGCCUUCCAGAUUUGAGAUCAAAAGUACCUCAACCACAUUAGUUUAUCCCCAGUUAAGGUUGCCAUAAACUGGUGUAUCUGUAAAGCAACAAUUCCAAUUCCAGGAGUGAAGUCAGUUGAACAAGCAGAAGAGAACCUGGGUUCGCUUGGAUUGCGUACGUCUUAGAUCAGAUGAGAUUGAUGAGCUUCAGUAUGCAGCAACAAAUUCGUCUCCUAAGAUGAUACAAAAUAUAUUUCAAACUAGAUGAAUGGAUGCAUUGCUGUAAAUUGCAAAUAUUGUUAUAAUAUCACAGUGAGAUAUAUCGAGAUAUCAUAGAAAGCAUCAAAAGAUAUUGUUAUUAGCUUGACUUGGGUGAUAGUUUCAAUAUUAGUAUGAUGUUGCUCUUA